rnacentral:lncRNA from 1 species
UCCAAGAUCAAAUUAUUUUUGAUACAAGUCUUGAUUGUUCUGUAAUUCCACCACUCAAUAGGAUACAUAAUUAGAAAACUUGUUGUGGGGACUAAACAGACUGCAGAGAAGAUAGCGAGUCUAAUAUCUUACUGUGAUCAUAUAAUUACAGUAUAAACGAAGCAGGACAAAACAAAAUCCUUCUUUAGGAAUGCUGAGUGCUGACACUAGAAGAAAACAAGCAACAAAAAAAUGACAGCGGAAAAAACUUGCUUGUAGAGACUUGGUUAGCACAAAACAACAUUCAUCAUGUUGCACCAAAUACAGAAUAUAUGCCUGAGGACAAUCCAUACUGAGUAUCAGUAUAAACAAUGUCAAUCAACACUGACCAAAAUACAGUAGGAGACAGCAGUCUACACAUUCCCUAGGCUGCCACAGCAGAAGCAUCAGUAUCUUCAGACUUCUGGCUAGCAAAGAGAUUGAGCACAUCAGCAUGGCUAGGGAUGUUAUUUGGACACUCAGAAAAGAAAUUCUGUGCUUUGCUGUGCCUUCCUGCCUUGAAAAAUGCUUCAAACAUAGGGAUGAACACAGGCGUAGAUAAGGUACUUUCACUUUCAUUGGUGACUGCUCUCAGAAAAAGCAUAGCAUCAGUGCCAGUCCCAGUCCCAGACUUGGAAAUAUAGUCAACAAAAGGAUUCAGAUGAGGUGGAUAACCGUGACCCUUCAUCAAUCUGAGCAGGCACAAAGCUUCAUCUAAACUUUGCUGCCCCAGCAACUUUUCUAUUAACUUAUUGUAUGUUGUCUGCAGAGCUCGUAAUUCUGUUCCAUCUACCAUCUCCGAGAGAAACUUGUAUGCAUCUUCAGCUCUUUUCUUCCUGCAAAAUCCUUUUAUUAAUACUUCAAAAGCAUCACCAGAAUCUGCAACCCCAACCUUUGUUACCAUAUAUCGAAAAGAAGACGAUGCCUCAUCCAGUUCACGAGCUAAUCAAUGGUGAGAUUUCAUUCAUUAAGUCAAAACAAAAAUGGAACCAAUAGGAAAAUAAGCAAUUAUAGAACAGACAUUAGGGAUAUAACUUGAUUAUAUGGCUACGUUUGACACUCAUCACCAUCCAUCAUCCUUCACCGUAAACAAAAAUUUAGUUAACAGAGAAUCGUGACAUCCUUAAAGUAGAAGACAGAAAUCUACAAAUGCCUAAGCUGUCACGGCAUCUUCAGGUUUCGGCUCAUGAAAUAGUUUGAUUACAUCAGCAUGGCUACGGAUGUAACUUGGACACUCUGAGAAGCAAUUCUGUGCCUCACUGUGCCUUCCAGCCUUGAAAAAUGCCUCAAACAUAAGGAUGAAUACAGAUGUAGAUGGGAUGUUUUUAUCAGUCACUGCUUCCAGAAAACUGCACAGCCUCAGCCCCAGUCCCAGACCUGGAAAUAUAGUCAACAAAUGGAGCCAAAUGAGCUGGGUAAUCGUGACCCUUCAUCAAGCUGAGAAGGCCCAGAGCUUCAUUUAGACUUCCCCCAGCCAAUAGCUUUUCUAUUAACUUUUUGUAUGUUGUAUACAGUAUGCAAUGGUCACAACUUUUUUCCAUCAACCAUCUCCAAGAGAAAUUUGCAAGCAUAUACUUCUUUUUUCUUCUGGCAGAACCCAUUUAUCAAUACUUUAAAAGCAUGACCUGCAUCUGCAACCCCAAACUUUUCUACCAUAGUUCGGAAAUACGAAGACGCCCUUAUCAGAUCACGAGCUACACAAUGCCCAUGCACUAAAGAACUCCAUGUCUUGAAAUCCGGGGUACACCCAGAUGCUUCCAUGUCCUCAAUCAUCUUGAAAUCUGAACACUACUCAGCCUGAAGAUUACUUCAUCGUAAGUUUCCUUCGUCGGUACAAAUCCUCCCUUUUCCAUUGCUUUAAGGAUCUUAACACAUUCCUGUGAUCUUCCAACACUGACCAAUGCCCUGACGACUGAUUCAAAAAUGGGAAAUGUCAAGCUAUUACCACCUUUGGUAAAAAUCUUUACAACUCUAGAAAACAGAUCCAUAUCUAAGUCCUUACUCGCAACAAUUUUUGGCAGCAGAGAAGCAGAGUCCAGAACUGAAGGCUUAUUCGCACUAUCCAUCGUGAACUCAUACAAAUGCACGACGUCCUUAAUCAUCUUCUUAUUACGAAACCACCUGAUAACCAAAUCAUAAACCUUCAUAUCCACGUUUUUGGAGACACUUGUUAGUUGUUGCUCAUCUAUUUUGUGGGCUUUGGUCUGUUGCUGUUAUUUGGCCCAUGGGCCACUUCCGUUUGUUUGAAAGAUCUUCACGAUCAUUUUAGCGGCCCGUGGUCCAUCUAUCCUUGUGAUCAACGGGCGUGGGUGCCUACUGCCUAGCCUCCCGGCAUAGCACUGGUUCCAGCUAGCGCACACACAAAGAAAAGAAAAAGUAAACUGUUAAAAAUAAAAUACAGUGUACUUUACACAAAUUCUAACUUUAUGCAAUGUUAAAAAAAAUCUGUUAUUAUUAUGCUGACGGUCUGCUUAAGUGUCCUCCUGUUUUUUUCCUUACGUGACUUUAAAUAAUUAUAAUUUGUUGAUGUGUUAAAAAUAAAACCAAAGUUCUUAUCACAGCAUGUUUUAAGAUCUUGUUAGAACUAAGGCACAACCACCACCAACAACACUUAAUCACAAAAACCUACACCAACUACCAUGAAACAUUUACUUCGACCAAACAAACUCCCCAACAACCAUCAUGACUCAAUAUCACUAACCAAAUUCAACAACAAUUAACUCCUAAUCUAAACUCUAAAUAUUUCUAGAAAAUAUAGUAAAAUAGACAUAAACAAACAAUUUUGUUGAAUCGAAAAAAAAAAAAAAUCUAAGGAUUAGAAUUACAAAGAAAAAUCUUGUUAAAAGUAAGUGAAUUUCUUCACUUUUGGGGUUAUGAUAUAUAGCAAGAACGAGAUGAGUUGAUACUUGAAGAAGAUGAACAUAUUUGAGGAAUUAAGAGAGAAAAAUAGAGUUAGGGAUUUGAAAGUUAAGGUUUGAAAUUGGGGAUUUUUUUGAAUUCCACGUGAGAAUCACAUGUAUUUCUUGUUGUGUAGGAAAUUCGUUUUUAAUUUUUUUUAAUAUGUCAGGUAGGAAAAAAUGGACACAUAAGCAGUUAGCAUAAAACUGACAGAUUGUAUAACAUGAGAACGAAAUGAAAGUACAAGUAUCUUUAGAACAAACUUUUUCUACAUUGCAUGAAGUGAGAAUUUGUGUAAACUACAUUGCAUUUUUUUUUUAUCAAUUUUACCAAAAAAAAUUGUAAUGGGGAAGGGGAAGGCUUUCCCCUUUUGUGAAGCUCAUUUUAGCUUUAAUAGAAUUUUAGCAUUUUUAUCGGGAAAAAAAAUCCAGUCAAGUCAUUUUUAUAUUUUGACAAUUUAGUAUAGUAUGGUAUUUUUACAAAAAAAAAGAUAAAGUCAAAAAGCAGCGUCACUUUUGUUUAUCUUAGAGCAAUGCCCAUGCAAAGGUUUUAGCUAGAUUUUAAGAAGUUUUAGCAAUUGUGUCCAUCCAAUGCAUCAAUAUAUACAUGUGCACUUCGAUUUAAAACUGACAAGUUGUACUUAUUGUUAGAAUGAACCGUCAGAAACUAUGGCGGAAAGGUUUACCCGCCAAAAACUAUGGUAGAGAGAGUUAACCGCUGGAACACUAGAAGUAUUGAACCCCAAAAACAAGCAAUACUCGCCCAAACUAUAAUGUUGUUGUUGCAAUAUUGUAGCAGUUGAUGAAAAUGACAUGAGAAAUCAUAACCAGGAGUUUCACAAAUAGAUUAAGGUAGAGUGCGUUGACUGUUUGAACUGUUUUGAGACCCAGAAAGCUCGUGAAAGACAUAAUAGGAGCUUUCGUGUAAAUAUUUAGAAAUUUUAGGGUUUUUUCUCUUUGGCCAUCACAGUCAUAGUCCAAGGAAAGUUUUGCCAAAUUAUACGUUAGAAUUCACCAUUGUGUAUGUGUUUUUCCCGUUCGUUUGUAAUCGUCUUCCUUAUGUUUGUUUGGGUGCAGGGUGUUGUUGAUGAUAUCCCUCCUCUGUUUUACUGCAUUUACUGCCAGAAUGUGAAAUGUUUUACUGACACACCAGCCUUGUAUUCUCACACAUCUGAUGUUAAUGGCGUGCAGACUAAAAACUAUAUGUGCUCUGAUUGUAAGAAUUACUUCAAGAAUCGUGAUAAUCGAGAACAACACAUUCUAAGUUGCAGCGAUCUUCUAUAAGCUUCUUGUGAUUUUCUUUUUUCGAUUGUUGACCUUUAUUGUUUUUUUGCUUUGGUACUAUUUCUCUGAUCUAGUACUCAUCAUUUUUUUAUUUAUUUUUUUGCAGUGAUCUAAUACUCAUCAUUUUUUUUUUUUUUGCAGUGAUUAUCUUCGGAAUAUCUGAGGUGUUUUCUCGAAGAUUUCAGUGGAGGUCAUGAGAGAUGCUGUUUUGUGACACUGAAAAUGUAUUGUUAGACUUUCAAGUAGGGUUUUCCAAACAUCUUUUACUACUCGUUCAAAUAUCUUGUAAAAGUGUUUUUUUUUAAAACAGUUGUGCUGGAAUUUUAGCUCAGAACUGGUGGUACAUAUUUGGUAUUUGUAGGAUAACUUCUGUUGCAGUAAAACAUUUGUCAUAUAGAACUAUAGAAGAUAUACUUUCUAGCUCUUUCUAGUACUCUUUUCCCAUACCUUCAGAAAGUGGUUUUCAUAAGUUGUGGGAUUUUAAGCCCAAAUAUUGGUUUUGCGUAUUUGUAGUAUACUUGUUUUUAAUGAUAUGUUAUUUGUGUUGUAUUGCUUUUGAGUGGUGAUUUGCAUUGCUUUCUAUGUAGUGUAGCAUUGCUUGUUUUCUAUCUGUAUUCUGUGGUAUGUUGGAAACACAAUAAUGGUUUAUUUAGGCUUUGCUUUAAUUCACUUUACUAUAAAAUAUGCCCUCCUUUAGGUCUGUUUGAUUAGUGUGAUGUACAGUUUAUUGAUUUACUGGAAAAAAAUGUUUGCAAAUAUUUUGGCAGUGAAAAUUGUACCAUUGAUGGUAUUAGACGAUUAGUGUAAAUACAUCCAAAGGCUUAAAGAGUGACUUCGCGUAAUAAACGAUUAGACGUCACUCUUGAUAGCCAGUUGUCAAAUGCUUGGACUGCUUCCCUUCUUCCCACUCACUCAAGUGUUGUCACUUUUAAUAAAAGUAUCUUACAUUUGUAGAGUAGCAAACACUCGAGCACAAGUUUGAAAGAAACUUGUUUGCUUAUUGGAUGUAGAAUAUAUGAGUUUUUUUUCUUAAUUUUCUUUUGAUGAUUAGAGCUACUAUAAUGUGUUUCAUGUUAACAAAGUAGUAACAACAUCGUUCUCAUUCUAGUCUGUUCUACACUUCUACUUCCUUGUCAUUGACUAGUAGUUUUGAAAAAGAUGAUUUGUUGGACAUUUAAUAGUAAUGUGACUAUCUUCAAUUUUCAUAUUCAACUAGUUAGCUAUAUAUCCAUUAUCCAAAGUGAGGUAUUGAUCAGAACAGGUUCAUUUAAUAUUCUGGAUGUUGAUAUGAUAGCAUAAGAUUGAAUUAUUGGAUGGAAGUAAGGAGGAAUGAGAUUAUAGAAGCUUAUGAAUUUGGUUGGCUGUAGAGGAGUUCAUAAGUUCAUACAUCAUAGACAGUACAGUGCUUUCACUACCCAAUAGGCUACAUAAUUAGAAAACUUGUUGUGGGGACUAAACAGACUGCAGAGAAGAUAGCUAGUCUAAUAUCUUACCGUGAUCAUAUAAUUACAGUAUAAAAGCAGCAGGACAAAACAAAAUCCUUCUUUAGGAAUGCUGAGUGCUGACACUAGAAGAAAACAAGCAACACAACAAAGACAGCGGAAAAAACUUGCUUGUAGAGUUGUAGAGACUUGGUUAGCACAAAACAAUAUUCAUCAUGCUGCACCAAAUACAAAAUAUAGAAUAUAUGCCUGAGGACAACCCAUACUGAGUAUCAGUAAAUACAAUGUCAAUCUAACACUAACCAAAAUUCAGUAGGAGACAGCAGUCUGCACAUUCCCUAGGUUGCCACAACAGAAGCAUCAGUAUCUUCAGACUUCUGGCUGGCAAAGAGAUUGAGCACAUCGGCAUGGCUACGGAUGUUAUUUGGACACUCAGAAAAGAAAUUCUUUGCUUCGCUGUGCCUUCCUGCCUUGAAAAAUGCUUCAAACAUAAGGAUGAACACGGGCGUAGAUAAGGUACUUUCACUUUCAUU